AUUGAACGCUGGCGGCAUGCCUUACACAUGCAAGUCGAACGGUAACAGGUUAAGCUGACGAGUGGCGAACGGGUGAGUAAUACAUCGGAACGUGCCCAGUAGUGGGGGAUAGCCCGGCGAAAGCCGGAUUAAUACCGCAUACGACCUAAGGGUGAAAGGGGGGGAUCGCAAGACCUCUCGCUAUUGGAGCGGCCGAUGUCAGAUUAGCUAGUUGAUGGGGUAAAAGCUCACCAAGGCGACGAUCUGUAGCUGGUCUGAGAGGACGACCAGCCACACUGGGACUGAGACACGGCCCAGACUCCUACGGGAGGCAGCAGUGGGGAAUUUUGGACAAUGGGCGCAAGCCUGAUCCAGCCAUGCCGCGUGCGGGAAGAAGGCCUUCGGGUUGUAAACCGCUUUUGUCAGGGAAGAAAUCCUUUGGGUUAAUACCUCGGGGGGAUGACGGUACCUGAAGAAUAAGCACCGGCUAACUACGUG
rnacentral:rRNA from 1 species